GGGAAAAAAUUAAAAGUGGAGUGAAGGGAAGGAAAAUGUUACAAAGAAAAACAAAGAACAAACCCAGUUUUCAAUAGCAAUCUCUUGAAAAUUUGCUACAAAAUAGGUUUAGCCCGAGUCAGUCCUGGUGUACAGAAGGAAAGUAAUAAAGGCGUACCAAGAAGCACAGCCCCUGCACUACCUCAGGCAGCUAGCAAAAGGAACUGAUGGUGUGGAACUGGUGCAUUACCUUGGCCAAGAUGUCCUCCUGCUGCAAGUGAACAAGAACCUGUCAGAGACUUGGAUGCCGCUAGGGAUCAGGGGUGAUUAAUAGCAACAGAAACCAGCAGCAUUUCCCCCCUGCACCUGCCCAUGUCUCAGGGACAGAUUUACUGUCCUGACCCCUGGGAUGGACUCUUGUCUUCCUCUCUAGUGACCUCCAGUGUUAAAUACCCGCCCCCAUUGUAGGGUGAGCUCUGGCCUCCAUUCCCUCAGCCUCCCUCUGAUAGGUGUUCCACCUCCACACCCCCCUGGGGACACAGCUCAAGUUCUCAGA